CCUCCACCACCACCACCACUAGCCUCCUCCACUUUCAUUUUUUGCAGAGAUUCUCAUUCCCAUACCCUCUCUCCUCUUUUGAUGAUCUCAUUCCAUGCCAAAAAUUGGGGUCUGAAACAUCGAGAGAUUUGGUUUUGCAGAUUGGAAAGAAUGUAAAGAUUGCGCAAUCCAGCUUCCAUAACUAGAAUUGCCCUCGUAACUGCUACCACUAAUAUUUAAAGCAACAGGUGUGGCAAAUGGGACUGAACUUGAACUAUUUGUACUAAUACCACCACCACCACCACCACUGACUCCACCACUUUGUUGCUGAAGGUAGCCACCACUAAAAAGUAACCCAUUGUUGUUGCUUUCAUUCACUGUAGAACUUCCAUUAUUAAAGUCCAUACUGAAGGCUGUUGUGCUUGGAAAAUUGGUGGAAGAUUGAAACAGAACACUUUGAGCAACGUUGCUAUUAGUGCUCUUACCAAUACUGUUUAAAGAACUAGAAGUACUAGUACCGCGUUGGCAUCCAAGGAUAUUGGACCAAUAAUCAGAUGGGUCUUGCUUGAUAGGCAAUGCAAAGCUUAAUGCAGAGGUAGCAGGAGGCUGAGAUGCAAAUGUUACCGAGGAUGCGGACGAGAGAUCUCGAUCGUCAGCCGAUCUACACCCAUCAAUGCUUUUACUGUCUGAAGCUGAGUCCAAAGAAUUCUUGGACUUGUUGGAUAUUCCUCCAAUGGGAAGAUUGCUGUUGGCUAUGCUUUUUACGUCAUAGCGACUCAUGUCAAAGUUGGUUACAGCAUUCAGGCCUCUAAAUUUGAUUGCUGCAAUGUCGUAUGCCUCGGCAGCUUCCUCCUGAGUGCUGAAAGUUCCCAGAUAAAGAUCUUUAUUGCCAGCAACUCGUCCAAUCCUUGCUUGCCAUCGACCAUGUUGAUGGUGCCUUGUCACACCCCUAUAAACAGAAGCUCCUCUUGAGAAACCACUACUUUUCCUUCUAAGUGAAGCAACAAACUCUUGCCUAGUCAUGUGCUUCAUCUCUUCUAGUUCCUUCUGAUAGUUAGAAAUCGGAAAGUUUGUAGUGGUGGUCGGACCCCAAUACUUGAGAGCUGCAAGAUCGUAAGCUCUAGCUGCUUUCUCCUCCUUAUCAUAGCCACCCAAAUAAACUUGUCUUCCUUUUCUGCUCUGGCCUUCCCUUCUGCAGCUAUUAUCCCAUAAAUGAGCUUCAUAUCUACCUGUCCACCUAUGUCUGGUGACUCCUCUGUAGAUUGAUGUACGCUGGCCAAAGGUAUCAACAGUUUUUCUUGGUGCAGAUUCAGUCUGAGCCAGGGGGGUUUGUUUUUGGGUUGUAUCGGUUUGAUCAGUAGUCGAAGAAAAACCACGAAGGAAACUAGCUGCUAUAGUUUUGAGCUCAGAAUCAUAUAUCUCAGAAGUGUCAGAAGCAGUAGUCACGGGUGUUUCAGUAUGGAACUGACAAAUAGCCUGUGGAAGGGGGGGAGGCUGUGGUGGUUGUGGAGGUGGUGCAGUAGUGGAACAACCGAGAAAGUCCUCGAGCUUAGGUCCCGUUCUUGUAAAUAUAGAGAGGUCUGUUACAGUAUUCCCAGCAGUUGCAUCUUCUUCUUGUGCUCUAUCUACAACACUAACUGGGGCAGUGGUGGAGUUAAACGCUUCAAAGAAACAAAGCUGAGAGGUAUCAGAAGAGGGGAUACUCAUAUUCAUGUGAUGAUGGCUGGAAAGAGAGAAACCAAGCCAGUUUUGGGUCUGAGAAGAAUCCACGUUCAUGUCGUCGGUGGUGGGAGAUAAUCAAAAGAAGAGCUUAUUGGGUUUCGCUUUCACUUGUUUCUCUUUGGAAAUAGCAAACUUGAGAGC
rnacentral:misc_RNA from 1 species